CAUACAAAGGCUGGAAUGUAACAAAGCCCACCAAGAGUUUUGCCUAGGUCUUCCCUGGGCCUUGAAGCAUGACAAGAUAACGAAGGAAUUCCUAACAGGACCCAUUUAGGAUUAAACAAGUUUUAUUGGGGGUCUAAAGGAACUCCCUAGACCUCCACAAACAAGCUUUAUUGGGGACUAAAGGAACCUCCAUGAUUUAGCAGGAGACAAGAUAAGGGUAAUCACCCUGGCACCUGGACCCAUUUAGAUUAAGAAAAUUUACUAAGGCUCCAGAGGAAGGUCUUCAGUACUCAGAUUUUAGUUAUAGGUUAGAAGUUGAUUACUUGGCCGGACGGGGUGGCUCACGCCUAUAAUCCCAACACUUUGGAAGGCCGAGGCAGGUGGAUCACCUGAGGUCGGGAGUUUGAGACCAGCCUGACCAACAUGGAGAAACCCCAUCUCUACUAAAAAUACAAAAUUAGCCUGGCAUGGUGGUGCACACCUGUAAUCCCAGCUACUUGGAAGGCUGAGGCAAGAGAAUCACUUGAACCCAGGAGGCAGAGGUUGCAGUGAGCCGAGAUCGCGCCAUUGCACUCCAGCCUGGGCAACAAGAGCAAAACUCCGUCUCAAGAAAAAAAAAAAAAGUUUAUUACUUAUGUCUUUAGAUGAAUGCACACUUACAUACUUACACAUAGACAUAUAGCUUAGAAGGUGUAUAAGCUCUGGAAAACUUUAUAAUUUUGAGUUGGUCUGGCAAUAUUUCCCAGCCUUCUCUCUGUACCUAGUUAUAUAAAUAAACUCCCUUCUAUCCAGUUCAUCUGCAUCUCGUUAUUGGGCCAUGAGAAUAAGCAUAAAACAAACCUUCCUUUGAUGCUGGUAUCUAAGCACCAAAAAAUAGAUACCAGCAUCAAAAGAAGGUUUGGAUACAACCUUCUUUCAUUUUGUUUGGAUACAAGGAGCUAGUUUGGGUCUGCUCCUUUAAUGUAUCUAUGCUCAUAUUUUCCUUCCUCAAUUAUAAAAUAAAUUAGAGGUGAACACUGUGGUUAGCCAUAGAUUAACCAAGAAAGCAGAAAUCAUCUCAAAUGUUCACAGCAGAAGGAAUGGAAAGCAGUGGUGGGUCCAUGAAGAGUGGAGAGGCUGAGAAUUAAACAGAGGGCUCUAAAAUAAUCCUGGGAGAUUGACGAUAGCAGGAAGUCUUUAUCAUUCUUGGGCGGGAGAGACAAAAGGAAAACAUGGAAUUACUGGCACCAAGAGGACCACUCUGGGAGACUGGAUCUCUGGUGGCCUCGAUACAAAGGGGGCUGGAGUCACAGAGAAGAUAAAGCCACUGGAGAGGCCACCUUAGGCUGAAAACAGGAGGGAGUGUCUUGAUAGCUCCCUCCCCCAAAAACCACUCCUCACCCUGCUCUCUAAUUUUCCAUGGUUGAUAUAUUCCUGCUGCCCGUUGACUCAGUCCUUUCAGAAAUUCUCUGGAGCCUGAAAAAGUCACCCUGCCGAGGAUCAACUUCUUCACCCCAGAACAAGGCAGAGCAGAAGGAUGGAUCUGAGUGCAAACAGGUCCAGGACCAGCACACCAUAUGCCGACCUUGAGAAGGAAAUUCACUGAGCCAUUCCUUACGAGUGUUCCCAGGAGAAACAGGAAAGUGAGAAGUCAAGUCAGUCCAAGAAGAAUAAAGAGGCCAAGCCCAGUUGCAUAUCAGCAAUCUCACAGAGAGAGCUGCCUCAGUCCCUCGAGGCACAGUGACCCAUGAUAUUCAAGGUGGUGGCUCCUUUGUCAGAUGAAUUCCUGAGUGACCAUAAGCAGAGAUCUCCUAACGACCCAUGAUGGGUAGUGUGAGCAAGUAUGAACCAUCUAGUGGAGCAAGAAAUAGUGCCUAUAUAAGCACUGAGAUUUGAGGAUGGUUUGUUACCAGAGAAUUGCCUACCUUAUCCUGACUGAUAAUCAGAUGUAAUAAUAUACCUCUGACUGGUGUUGGCUCCAUCAUACACCAGGGAAACAGCUGUUGUCUAGUACUUAUAACAUGUAACUCAAAACCCCUGGUUUAAAUGAAUUCCUGAGUGCAUUAUGCAUAACAUUUGUAUAAUUGGCUUUUGUAAACAAGACAUUGCUAUAGUUCUUCACAGAAUUAUGCUAAUAUCGAUAGAUUAUUCUUCAUUUAUCUUUAUCUGUUCUGAGCCACUGAAAGAGGAAAGAUUUGUUAUGAGAACACAUAAAUACAGUAUCAUGAAAGGGAAAGAAAAAGUUCUGUUUUGCGGAAGGCAUUAGUCCCCUUUGUUAGUCAAAUGAAGAGAGACUAUUCAUUAUACUUUAAUCUUAAGGAAUCCAAGAUUGCUAAACUAAUGGAUGACAUGUGACUAAGGAAUGAAUUAGUUGAACUUUAUUCUAUGAGUUGCCACCAUGAACUGUGCAAUUAUAGCCAGGUCCUUUAAAUGCUUUGAAUGUUUUUCAUGUGCGGAUAAGAUUAUUUCAGACCUACCAGGCCUUGAAGAAGGAUCAAAGUCUUGUCAGAGCUUUUGCCUAAAAUUGAAAAUAUCAUGUUACUUGGACUAUUUAUUUAUCCCUGCACCUUGUUGCAAAAAGGAUUUUAAGUAGAUGGCAUAUUAUUAUUUUAUUAACACAUUAAAAAAAACCCAUAAGAGGAUUAUAGAGUUUUUCCCUAACCUACUUCUCAGAGUGUUUUAAGCACACUGUAGAAUUUAUUCACUCAUGAAUUUGAUACAAACUAAAGUGAAAAUCUCUUCUCUGGAACCUCAUAAUGCUUAGAAAGCAUAGUAACACGUUCGGAGAAAGAGGAAGAUCAAAUUUAGAGGAAGCUCUUGUUUGAGUUUCUGCCACAAUGAGUUUCCCAUUCUAGAUAUUAAAAUAAUAGUAUAUACCCCAAAUAAAAUACUCAAGUUUCUGUAAAUUAAGGAUUAUGACUUGAUUAUACAUAUUUUAGAUUUAGAGCAUGCAUAAAAAAAUAUCUUUUUCACCAACUAGUAGAAAAAAAUUCAAAAUAAUGUGAUGAUUUUAAUCUUCCAUGAUAUGUAAUCUAAAAUAUCAAAACAUCACUGACUUUGCAUUAUAAUUAAAUAUAAAAGGUGACUGACUUAAGCCAAAUUUAAAAAAAAAAAUUGAGACAAGGUCUGUGUCAUCAGAGGUGGUAAGCAGUAGUGCAAACACAGCUCACUGCAGCAUUGACCUCCUGGGCUCAAACUCUCCUCCCAUCUCAGCCUCCCAGGCAGC